AUACGAAAGUUGCAAGCGUUGUUCGGAUUUACUGGGCGUAAAGAGAGUGUAGGUGGUUUAUUAAGUCGGAUGUGAAAUCCCGGGGCUCAACCUCGGAACUGCAUUCGAUACUGAUAGGCUAGAGUUUGGGAGGGGUAAGCGGAAUUCCGUGUGUAGCAGUGAAAUGCGUAGAUAUACGGAGGAACACCUGAGGCGAAGGCGGCUUACUGGACCAAUACUGACACUGAGACUCGAAAGCGUGGGUAGCAAACAGGAUUAGAAACCCCAGUAGUCC
rnacentral:rRNA from 1 species